rnacentral:rRNA from 1 species
GAAUAUUGGACAAUGGGCGCAAGCCUGAUCCAGCCAUCCCGCGUGAGUGAUGAAGGCCCUCGGGUCGUAAAGCUCUGUGGAGAGGGACGAACGUCCGUACGUUAAUAGCGUGCGGGGUGACGGUACCUCUUUAGCAAGCACCGGCUAACUCCGUGCCAGCCGCCGCGGUAAUACGGAGGGUGCAAACGUUGCUCGGAAUCAUUGGGCGUAAAGCGCACGUAGGCGGUUUCGUAAGUCGGAUGUGAAAGCCCUAGGCUUAACCAAGGAAGUGCAUUCGAAACUGCGAGACUUGAGUACGGGAGAGGGUUGUGGAAUUCCCGGUGUAGAGGUGAAAUUCGUAGAUAUCGGGAGGAACACCAGAGGCGAAGGCGACAACCUGGACCGAUACUGACGCUGAGGUGCGAAAGCGUGGGGAGCAAACAGG